rnacentral:miRNA from 1 species
AGCCAGGCUCUGAAGGGAAAGU